rnacentral:rRNA from 1 species
CACGUAAGUUGCGAGCGUUGUUCGGAAUUAUUGGGCGUAAAGGGCAUGUAGGCGGUUCUGCAAGUCUGGUGUGAAAUGCCGGGGCUCAACCCCGGAACUGCGUAGGAAACUGCAGGACUUGAAUCGCUGAGGGGCGGCCAGAAUUCCAGGUGUAGGGGUGAAAUCUGUAGAUAUCUGGAAGAGUACCAAUGGCGGAGGCAGGCUGCCAGCAGAUGAUCGACGCUGAGGUGCGAAGGUGCGGGGAGCAAAC